rnacentral:rRNA from 1 species
GCGUGAGCGAUGAAGGCCCUAGGGUUGUAAAGCUCUUUCAGCGGGGAAGAUAAUGACGGUACCCGCAGAAGAAGCCCCGGCUAACUCCGUGCCAGCAGCCGCGGUAAUACGGAGGGGGCUAGCGUUGUUCGGAAUUACUGGGCGUAAAGCGCACGUAGGCGGAUUGUUUAGUCGGGGGUGAAAUCCCGGGGCUCAACCCCGGAACUGCCUCCGAUACUGGCAGUCUGGAGGAUGGGAGAGGCGAGUGGAAUUCCGAGUGUAGAGGUGAAAUUCGU